GAAGACUGAAGAGAUUACUUCUGCCGCUAAUACUUUUCCUGGAGCUGAAUUUCGCUAUCCUGACUCCCAUAGCGAUAGCCGUCGUGACUCUCCUGGCCUUCAAGGGCUUGUGGGCUGGCCUGUCGGCCCUGAUGGUGACCGGAGUCCUCGGACUUAAGGCGCUGUUCUCCGGUGGCGACAGCCACGGGUCUCCAAGCACUCGGUUCUCGCUAGGGUUCGUGAGACCCCACAUCGUACCCGAUAUAUAUCACAGUGACUAUUUGGGUUGGAGUCGGUCGGUACCACCGCCGGCGGAACACCCCUAUCGCGCAGACCCUUACUAUAGGGGUGAAUACGCCUACAGGGGAUAUUACCCUGCCACAUGGGACAGGCCCGCAGUUGCAGCUCCAGCGUCAGCUGCUAAGUGAAACAGUUCCUGGCAGCUGGGAUAUUUAAGUGUAUUUAUUAGUUCAAUUAAAGUUGAUAUAAAACUGAGGUCCGCGAACCUUCUUGUCGUGGUCGUAGUAUUUGUAAACUAUACGUGAGCAGCAACAGUUCAGGCACUAAAGUGACUGAGUAGGAGCUGGACAACAGAGAUUCGAUGCUCGGAAGGGUAGGGAUUUAUUUCUUACUAACACAUCCAGAACGGAUUUUAAGCCCACCCAAUCGCAGAUCAAAUCAGCACAAGGGGGGUCUUUCUACAAGUUUGAAGCGGCCGGAGCGUGAAGCUGAUCACUUAUUUUCAUUCAAUAUUUAGGUUAGGAUUCGCCUUGUUAAGAUAUGUAGUCUGGUAUAUAUUUACGGGCAUUUCAGAGGAAAUUAUGGUCUUCAGUUAUUAGGGUAAUGCGACCGGAUAACACGGCGCAACAUAUCAGAAGGCAGCCAUCUUCAGAAUACGUUUUUAUGAUUUGGUGCUUAGGAAUGGAGCAAAGUUAUUUUACGAAUUAUAUACCAUCUAAUAAUAUUGCCUGGAGGAUCUGAGAAAUCCCUAAGACCCUCAAUCAUAAUAGCCAAUUACAGAGACGAACAUCACACUCAGGUACGCAACACCGAGCACUUUGAUGCAGCGGUGAAUUUACAGGAUUUAUCCUCUAUCGAUACUCGUUUUCCUGACGUAUUUAAUGAUUUUCUUACAACUCUUAGAGCCAGGAUAAUGCUUUCAAAAUAGUACAAUAUAAACUAUGCUAUCCUUAUAUAAGCAUAUUCAAUAUUAUGAUAAUUUCCAAGCGUCGUUUGAUACUACGUAAUUUAAACCUCUACAGUUUUAAAAUCAUCACGAAAUAUCUUAAGAACAACGAAGUUCAUCACGCCAGGGAAACAGUGAACAGUUCUCGAGAAUUUGAAAAUAUUCACCUGUUGUUAUAUCACAUAUAUAGAAAGGCAAAGAAUGGUUGUCCCUGUGUUUAAGCACCGAACCAUAACGACUUAGGGGCAGUUGAGGUAAACCUCCACUCAUUCCUAAAUUCUUCAUUAUGGAGAUAAGGGUCAGCAUCACGUCCGGCCGCUUUACCCCGUGAAGAAAUCACCCGUUACGAAGGAGACUGGGUGGGCCAGAAAUGCCAACUUCAUGUGGCGAAUAAGAAAAAAUUCCCUAUUCCUGUCUGGAACCGGAAUCCAGAGAGUAGUCUGCAUUUGCUCACUGAUCAGGAAAGCGACAAAAUGGCUACUCUCUGCAUUUCGUACUACACAUGUGAGAGGUAGACUGAUAAACAAUGAUUAAAGGAAACAAGGUCGUUUCUCGUUGAAGUCACACAGAACAGUUCUAUUUUGCGACACUAGGCUGCAGCACUAACAGGUACAACGUUGUCCUCCCGCAACUGUUAAAGAAAUGUUAAGGCUAUCUGUUUUCAAGAGUGAUUUUCUCAAGAAAUCAAUCAUAUUCACAGCGUGUACAACUGUAUUUAAUUUUAAAUACUUAAUCAUAUUUAACUUCACACCUAGAGUUCGUCAUUGUAAUUAUAUGCUAAGGGACUACUAAUUAAUGUUCUCCACUAAACAUUUUUAUUAUAAUAUUCAUCUCCUGUUUCGCCUUUUGUUGUGAAAUAAAUAGGUCUAGAAGGACCAUACAUGUUU